rnacentral:lncRNA from 1 species
UCUGACACAGUUUUAUAUGAUUGUCACACAGUAGAUUGUGUACUGAAUGAUCUAAAAAGGGGGACUCACAGGUGGCUGUUUUCAGGCCAGCCUAAAUAAGGCACCCAGCCUCCCUUUGAUGAAGACUGAAGCAAAGAGAGAGGAAAUAUUCCAUGCCUAUUACCUGUUCUCCUGGUGGAAAGGAAAAGCCUCAUGUCAGUCACUGUGCUGUGCACAACAGGUGACCGCAUAUAUCUAAGGUCCUGUAAUAUUAAU